rnacentral:rRNA from 1 species
GGGUUGUGAGGUUAAGCGACUAAGCGUACACGGUGGAUGCCCUGGCAGUCAGAGGCGAUGAAGGACGUGCUAAUCUGCGAUAAGCGCCGGUAAGGUGAUAUGAACCGUUAUAACCGACGAUUUCCGAAUGGGGAAACCCAGUGUGACUCGUCACACUAUCAUUAACUGAAUCCAUAGGUUAAUGAGGCGAACCGGGGGAACUGAAACAUCUAAGUACCCCGAGGAAAAGAAAUCAACCGAGAUU